AGGGAACUCACAACCCUGUCAACAGGAUGUAGCUUCUGGGCUUUCUGUGAGGAAAGGAUCUUUAUUCACAGCUCUGAAUCAACGCCGAGGCAGACAACAAAUUGGCCCCUUCAAGUCUCCCUCUCCAAAUGGAGGGAAAGCCAAAGAGAAAGGAAGGGAAGGAAAUUUGUCUGGAAGAGGAGAUGUUGGGAGGUUAGAGAGAGGAGUGAACGGAGAGAAAACAGCUGUACAUCACCAGAGAGGGUGGGAAGCCGAUUGCAACUGAGCGCAGUGUUCAGAUAAGGAGCUGUUCACACUUUUUUGUUCAGUAUAUAAUUCCACAUGUAUUAAUUCAUAGUUUUGAUGCCUUCAGUGUGAAGCUACAAUAUUCAUAGUCAUGAAAAUAAAGAAAACCCUAGUUCAGAUUGAGUACUACAACAUCUCUUACCACAGGCUGGUGACACAACUUUAUAAUUCUGUGUCAAAGCUUAGUCAUUGCCCAAUCUAAUCAUUGAAUCAGUGUGUAUAUAACAUCAGUGAGAGGAGGGGUCCACAUUUCCUACUCUUUAUGCAGAAAAACAGAACAGUUUUGGUCCCAAAAAUGCAAGGUUUUAGAAAAAAAUAGAUCAAGACAUAUUCUGUUCAUAUUCAUAAUUUCCAUCGUCUACUCACCGAUUGUUCAUUGGGAUUCAAACCACACAUUCAGUUGAAAAGUGAAUUAGCAUAUUUUUUGUGCUGCAGGUAUUACUUUUUAGUUAUAAUAUAUAAGUUAGAUGUACAAAAUUUUUAAAAACGUAGGUUAUCAAAACAGUAUUACUUGAGCUGUGAUGAUGGAUCUUAGUUGAAAGAACCCCAAAUCAGAUUUCCCCGUAGAGCUUCGGACUGGCAUGUGCAGUUACAUUUAUUUUGUUAUUUUCAUAUUUUCUGCAACAUUUUCUCUUUCUUCCUGCCCCUCUCCCUUGCUGUCCUCCACUCAACCUUUUUCCUAUCUGCCCCCAGCCUGUUGCUCCUCAGCGUGAGCCUGACAACUGCCACCCCCCCUAAAUUUACCUACUGAUUGCCAAGGGCACCUCUCAAAUUAGUGACAGUGGGGCUGUUAAGUGACAAACUGACAGCCAAAGGUCUGUUAGUGUGAGAGAGAGUGAAAACUGCAGCACAACAUUAAUGCAGCACAACAUUAUUGUGACGUGACUCUGCUCUUUUUCUGUUUUUUUUUUCUGGCUCAGACUAUGACAAAGCAACUGGUGAUGAGCUUGCUGUUGGCACUUUAUCUUAAUUGGAAGUUCUGGUCUUGUGCCAACACCAGCAGCCAUGAUGCAAUAGCUCUGAGAAGCAGAAGAACACCAGUAGAUUUACAAUGGGGCACUUAGUGAAUUGUUAUAAGUGAUCGAUGUACAUUAUAAAAUGCUUAUAAAUAUGUGUUUUACAAAGCGACCCAUGCUACACCUAUUGGCACCUCAGUCCUUUGUCUAACCUCUAUUUGAUAUUAGAUUUUUAUUUAAAGAACUACAAAAUUAUUUGUACUCCAGCCGAACUCACAAGGUUUUUGAAAGAGAAUAAGGCCCGCAGCAUCACAGAACUAGAACCUUGCUUAACAAUGGAUAUUGUGUGCAGUUCCAAUUACAACCCCAGUAGCUUUUAGUAAAUUCAAACAUUUACAUCUGUGGGAUAGAACAGCUGCCUUCCUGAUGUUUCCCAAAAAACCGAUUGGCAUGUUGUUAUGGAGACAUGGGUGACCCAGGGAUGCCAGUCUUUGCUUGAAUUCUCUAAUAACAGUGAGCUUCCCUAACAUCUUCUUGGUGAUAGCAAGAUAAACUUGGGUCUUUGUCCAUGCUUGUUUAAGAUGAGAGCAUUUUAUUGACCAGACAAGGGGGAUUCACUUGUCGCAGAAGCAACAGCUGAACAAGAAAAAAGAAAAGUGAGCAUGUAAAGCAAAAAAAAAUGUCACUGAUUGUAUAAUUUAAGAAAAGACACAAACUAUAUAAAAAACAUGACAUACAUAUUUGUAGAAAGCACCAAAGAUAUGGAAUAACACUCAAAAUAAACAUGUUUUUUUUUUUGUUUGUGCAGUGUUUAAAGACAAUAUUUAUUAUUACAGUUCUACGUGUUUUAACCUGUGAAUUAUUUAUCUAACUGCACAAAUAAGCAAGUUUAGGUAAUCUAUUCUAUUGUUGCAAUUUCUUAACCUAAUAACAUAAUUAGACUUGUUUUGCACGUUAUGUUGUCUUUCCCGUUUUGAAGUGUAACUAAGAUUAAUUACAUCAUUGUCGGGGUCUGUGUUGUGUGUAUAUUGUGCUUGCAACAUUUCUUCAGUUUUUUCAGAUGGUGCUGGAGUUUUCAGGUGUGGUGAGUGACAGGUGCGACUUAUUCUGCUGAGUGCAUGGAGGAGUACUUAAGCAGGAGGCUGCCAGCACUUCGACGCCAGAGUAGUAACAAGCUCAACCACCUCUAAUCUAUGCUUCGUUCUUUGCUCCAAGUAACUUUGUUUAUGCUCCUUUGGAUUUAACUCGCUGAACACAGACUUCGGUCCCAGAAGUUCUGGGCGAUCAAGAUUAUCUACGUUUUGAGGACUUCGUUUCCUAACCCCUGACUUUCAUCUGGACACAGAUCAAGUUGGCAGCUUCCUGCUUCCUCCGUCUUCUGGACCAAGGCAUAAGCGUACCCUGUCCACCCUCCAAUGCAAGUAUCUGCACAUUGGAUUUACUCCUGGUCUCACCAAGCUCACUCAAACAGCACCAGAGAAAUCAUCUGAACAAAAUCUGCUUCGUAAACCUGGACUCCGAAUCCCUCUACCCCUGGCAAUCUGACUUUACCUAUUUAUUGGCGAUCCACCCGUUCACUUUCCUGAUUAUUUGCUGAAAAUAAAACUCCAGUUUACUGAUUUCAGUUUCUUCCGAAUGUACUUCUGUAUGUGGGUCAGAUCUAUUUCAAAAACGAUGACAAUCAUAUCUGGAGAAGGAGUCAAACUUC